UACGUAGGGUGCAAGCGUUAAUCGGAAUUACUGGGCGUAAAGCGUGCGCAGGCGGUUUUGUAAGUCUGUCGUGAAAUCCCCGGGCUCAACCUGGGAAUUGCGAUGGAGACUGCAAGGCUAGAAUCUGGCAGAGGGGGGUAGAAUUCCACGUGUAGCAGUGAAAUGCGUAGAGAUGUGGAGGAACACCGAUGGUGAAGGCAGCCCCCUGGGUCAAGAUUGACGCUCAUGCACGAAAGCGUGGGGAGCAAACAGG
rnacentral:rRNA from 1 species